AUGGCUCUAAGCCUAGUCGCGGCCGCCCCGCCCCUUUUCCUCUCCCCUUCCUGUCCCCCUCCCCCCACCCCCCCACUCCUCCCCUACCCUCCCCACUCCUUCCCCCUUCCUCUCCCCCGCCAGCGUCACCGUCACCGUUCUCCCAGCCAAGUCCGGACCGCCCCCUCCUCCUGCUCCCUUUCCCCUCCACCUCCCCUCCCCCCACCCCACUCCUCCCCUCCCCUCCCCCCUCCUUCCCACUCCCUCUCCCCCGCCAGCGUCACCGCUCUCCUAGGCGAGUCGGGGCCGCCCCCUCCCCCAGUCCCUUUUCCCCCUCCCCCUUCCCCCCACUCCUCCCCCCCUCCUCCCCCCCACUCCUCCCCUCCCUCCUCCUUUGUCCCCCCCACCCCCCGCCAGCGUCACCGUUCUCCCAGCAGAGUCGGGGCCGCCCCUCCCCCCGCCCCCCACUCCUCUCUUCCCCUCCCCCCUCCUUACCCCUCCCUCUCCCCUGCCAGCGUCACCGCUCUCCCAGCCGAGUCGCUGCCGCAGGCUCUCCCCAUUGCUGACGUGGCCACCGCAGGUGACUACCCGACCACCGGAAGCGCAGCCCUUGUAGGGAGCAGAGUCCUGAGAGCUCCGCGGGGCCGGAAGCCGGGCAACAGCCGCCCGAGGUCUCUCGCCCUACUCUCAUCUUCCGAACGACUCCCCGGUCCCGCAAAGGAGCUUUCACCGUGGGACCACAUCUCUAAUGCUGAAAAGCAGCUGAAAAUACCCAGGACCACCUGACUCUCUGACUCAGUGGGACUCAACCCCUGACCUCAGGGGAGCUUCCUGAGCCAUGAAGGAAGCCUUGAGCUGAGCACAGAAGGAAACAUGGGAAAGGAUGUUGAUUAUUAUUUUCCCAGCUAUUAUCCUGACCUGAUUACUCUUGUCAUUAUGGGCUCUCACUAAAGGUCAGUUGAGGAUGACACUAAAUGCUACUGAGAAUAACUUCAGAUUCCUCAGAUCCCAUGUUCCUGCAUUAGGGAUUCACACAGAUUAUGGAAGCGGCAAGGUGGGUCUCCUGGCCCACACUCUCUUAUUAUAGAUAUGCAGAGUGUGGCUCAGGGAGGUGACUCCCAGUCUGCCCACCAGGCUCCCUUCUGUGAACCACGUGGAUGAAAUGCUCAGCCUUCCUGGGCUGGGAGCCAUGCGUGGCUGAGAAACACCUUGGGCCCUGAAGCCAGAGCUGGCCACUAUGGUACCUCUUCUUUAGAUUCUUCCUCGUGUCCCCAUUUCUUGAGUCUGUCUUUCCCCACACGUUAGCCCCUUCCCCGGGGGGUUUCUGGUCAUCACAACUGUGAUGCCAGCUUCCUGCCUACCCCAGACACCUAGCCACAGGAGGCCCAGCCCAUUAAGGUUUUGCCAAAACAACAUCUGCGGCAGCUCUUCUCUUGUUUUCUGUCUGGAAAUGAAGGGGGUUUGUCCUGGGCUUCAGGGAGUGAGGAUGAGGAGUAUUUACAACGUGUCUGUCCUCUCAGUUUGGGAAAGAGGCAAUAAAUUCAGCUUCAGAUGUG